UUUUAGAGGCCAAGGCUGAGGGGUCAGGAGGUGACCCCAGCGAGGUAGGGUGGCUGUCCAAGCGAGAGGCGAGCAGCUUGGGCGUGGGUGGCGGCGGCCAAGGGGCUGGAGAACCCUCAUCUUUCCUUCAUUUUUAAAGAGUUGCUUCGCCAUCAGAUAAGCACGGAAGACACCGGGAUGUUGCGUGCUCCUUCUGAGACAUUCACGGGGGGCUUCGAUACGACCUGUGGACUCUGGCCCGUCUCAUAGAACACCAACUGACUUCCCUCCCCAGUGUUGCCUUCAUUUGCGUGUUCAUUUCAAUAUUCCUGAUCGAUAAUUGUGCCUGUUCUUCAGAUUCUCUUGUGAACUGGUAAUAACAUGUGCCUGGUUGCCCCAUUGAUUUAGGAGUUUAAUAAACUUUAACACAUGUUCAGUUUUAUAUGACA